rnacentral:rRNA from 1 species
UACGGAGGGUGCAAGCGUUAUCCGGAUUCACUGGGUUUAAAGGGUGCGUAGGAGGGCAGGUAAGUCAGUGGUGAAAUCCCCGAGCUUAACUUGGGAACUGCCGUUGAUACUAUCUGUCUUGAAUACCGUGGAGGUGAGCGGAAUAUGUCAUGUAGCGGUGAAAUGCUUAGAUAUGACAUAGAACACCAAUUGCGAAGGCAGCUCACUACACGAAUAUUGACACUGAGGCACGAAAGCGUGGGGAUCAAACAGG